rnacentral:rRNA from 1 species
UACGUAGGGUGCAAGCGUUGUCCGGAAUUAUUGGGCGUAAAGAGCUCGUAGGCGGUCUGUCACGUCGGACGUGAAAAUCCAGGGCUCAACCCUGGACCUGCGUUCGAUACGGGCAGACUAGAGUUCGGUAGGGGAGACUGGAAUUCCUGGUGUAGCGGUGAAAUGCGCAGAUAUCAGGAGGAAUACCGAUGGCGAAGGCAGGUCUCUGGGCUAUAACUGACGCUCAUGCACGAAAGCGUGGGGAGCAAACAGG